rnacentral:rRNA from 1 species
GACGAACGCUGGCGGCGUGCUUAACACAUGCGAGUCGAACGGAAAGGCCUCUUUCGGGGGGUACUCGAGUGGCGAACGGGUGAGUAACACGUGAGUAACCUGCCCUUGACUUUGGGAUAACUUCAGGAAACUGGGGCUAAUACCGGAUAGGAGCUCCUGCUGCAUGGUGGGGGUUGGAAAGUUUCGGCGGUUGGGGAUGGACUCGCGGCUUAUCAGCUUGUUGGUGGGGUAGUGGCUUACCAAGGCUUUGACGGGUAGCCGGCCUGAGAGGGUGACCGGCCACAUUGGGACUGAGAUACGGCCCAGACUCUUACGGGAGGCAGCAGUGGGGAAUAUUGCACAAUGGGUGGAAGCCUGAUGCAGCAACGCCGUGUGCGGGAUGACGGCCUUCGGGUUGUAAACCGCUUUCGCUCAUGACGAAGCUUUGUGUGACGGUAGUGGGUAAAGAAGCACCGGCUAACUACGUG